rnacentral:rRNA from 1 species
GCAAGUCGAGCGAGAAGUCUAUGAAAGAUCCUUCGGGUGAUUGAUUAGAUGGAAAGCGGCGGACGGGUGAGUAACGCGUGAGUAACCUACCCUAUACACAAGGAUAGCCAUUGUAAACGAUGAUUAAAACUUGAUAAGACUACAGAACCGCAUGGUUCAGUGGUAAAAACUCCGGUGGUAUAGGAUGGACUCGCGUCUGAUCAGCUAGUUGGUAAGGUAAAGGCUUACCAAGACUACGAUGAGUAGCCGACCUGAGAGGGUGAUC